GGACAGAUGGCCGAGUUGGUUAUGGCGCCAGGUUAAGGUGAUCCUUAACACAAUUUCCUGGUCACGAAAGUGGUGAGUUCUCUUGGUAUAGUUAUAAAUAACCAAUCAUUAACAACGCCUAGGCGUGGGUUCGAGUCCCACUCUGUUCA